AAAUAAAAAAAGUGCUAAUGAGACAGAAAAGGGCACUGAAAGAUCCGGUCACCCAGGGACCUCUCAAUUGCUCAGAUUUGGAGAAGGUGGGGAGAGAAGAUUGCGUCAAACAGACCUGAGAUCCGAUCCCAGCUCAGUCAUUUCCAGCUGUGUGACCUUGGCAAUGGAUGGCGCCUCUCCUUCCAUCCUCUACAGAAGGAGGAAGAGAUGUUUAAAGUGGAAAUAAGAGAAUUGGAGUUCUGAAAAUGUGAGAAUCAAAUCUACAGCCCCAUUUGUUCAGUGACUUCCUAUCUCCACCCCGUGAAGUUCACCAGAGGCACCGAGGGAACUUGCCCAGAUGGUUGUGGUGGCAUUGUCCCUGGUGUGUGAGGAAUUUUGGAGAAUACAAGAGGUGUAAAACUACUGUA
rnacentral:lncRNA from 1 species